GAGCUGAGCCCCAAACAGCUCCCCACUGUCUGCCCCAACCUCUGAGACACUCACACUGGGAGGGGCCGAGGCGCUGCUGGAUGGUGACCAGAACAGAGGCCUCGUGGGUAUCUGAGCCUCUGGCCACUCGGCACACAUACUCCCCGAAGUCAGCAGGGGACACUUGGUGCAGCCGCAAGAGCGAGCCGUGGGUCUGUUCUCCUCACCUGGGCUGUGGCUGAGGCCUGGGUGGGUGCUGUGGAGCACCGAGACCACGAUGGAGGCCUCCUUGGGUCCUGCCUCACUCUCCACUCGGGCACACAUACUCUCCAGAGUCUGCUGGUGAGACCUGUGGGAGCCGCAGCCGGGAGCCGUGGACCUGGGCCAGG
rnacentral:lncRNA from 1 species